rnacentral:rRNA from 1 species
AUUGAACGCUGGCGGCAGGCUUAACACAUGCAAGUCGAGCGGAGCGGCGGACGGGUGAGUAAUGCUUAGGAAUCUGCAUGGUAGUGGGGGAUAACGUUCGCAAACGGGCGCCAAUACCGCUUACUAUCAGCUGAGCCUAGGGCGGAUUAGCUAGUUGGUGGGGUAAAGGCCUACCAAGGCCACGAUCCGUAGCUGGUCUGAGAGGAUGAUCAGUCACACUGGAACUGAGACACGGUCCAGACUCCUACGGGAGGCAGCAGUGGGGAAGAUUGGACAAUGGGCGAAAGCCUGAUGCAGCCAUGCCGCGUGUGUGAAGAAGGUCUUCGGAUUGUAAAGCACUUUCAGUUGGGAGGCGUUACCAACAGAAGAAGCACCGGCUAACUUCGUGCCAGCAGCCGCGGUAAUUC